rnacentral:rRNA from 1 species
AUUGAACGCUGGCGGCAGGCCUAACACAUGCAAGUCGAACGGUAACAGGAAGCAGCUUGCUGCUUUGCUGACGAGUGGCGGACGGGUGAGUAAUGUCUGGGAAACUGCCUGAUGGAGGGGGAUAACUACUGGAAACGGUAGCUAAUACCGCAUAACGUCGCAAGACCAAAGAGGGGGACCUUCGGGCCUCUUGCCAUCGGAUGUGCCCAGAUGGGAUUAGCUUGUUGGUGGGGUAACGGCUCACCAAGGCGACGAUCCCUAGCUGGUCUGAGAGGAUGACCAGCCACACUGGAACUGAGACACGGUCCAGACUCCUACGGGAGGCAGCAGUGGGGAAUAUUGCACAAUGGGCGCAAGCCUGAUGCAGCCAUGCCGCGUGUAUGAGGAAGGCCUUCGGGUUGUAAAGUACUUUCAGCGGGGAGGAAGGGAGUAAAGUUAAUACCUUUACUCAUUGACGUUACCCGCAGAAGAAGCACCGGCUAACUCCGUA